rnacentral:rRNA from 1 species
AUGAGCAGCGGUGCAUUUCAACUCCUUGGCAUGGCGGACCUGGGCCUCCUCCCGACCAUCUUCUCCCAUCGCGGCGCCCGCACUAGGACCCCAUGGGUUGCCAUCACCGCAUCGACCGUCAUAACGAUCGCCGUCUCCUUCCUUGGGUUCGAUGACGUCAUAGCGACAUCCAACUUCAUGUAUGGCCUCGGCACGUUGCUUGAGUUCGCAUCCUUUCUAUGGCUCCGAGUUAGGCAUCCUGCACAGAAACGUCCCUACCGCGUGCCGCUACCAGUUCCCGCACUUGUCGUCAUGUGCAUUGUGCCAUUAUCGUUCCUCGCCUACGUGUGUGUGGUGGCCGGGUGGAGGGUACUCGCCAUCGCCGCGGGGCUGACCACACUCGGCGUUGGGUGGCACGGUGUCAUGAGGAUGUGUAGAGUCAAGAAGUUGCUUAGUUUCAACAAUGUUUAG